rnacentral:rRNA from 1 species
GACGAACGCUGGCGGCGUGCUUAACACAUGCAAGUCGAACGAUGAAGCUAGAGCUUGCUCUGGUGGAUUAGUGGCGAACGGGUGAGUAACACGUGAGUAACCUGCCCCGAACUCUGGGAUAACUGCUGGAAACGGUAGCUAAUACCGGAUAUGACCAAUGAAGGCAUCUUCUGUUGGUGGAAAGAAUUUCGGUUCGGGAUGGACUCGCGGCCUAUCAGCUUGUUGGUGAGGUAACGGCUCACCAAGGCGACGACGGGUAGCCGGCCUGAGAGGGUGAUCGGCCACACUGGGACUGAGACACGGCCCAGACUCCUACGGGAGGCAGCAGUGGGGAAUAUUGCACAAUGGGCGCAAGCCUGAUGCAGCAACGCCGCGUGAGGGACGACGGCCUUCGGGUUGUAAACCUCUUAGUAGGGAAGAAGCGAAAGUGACGGUACCUGCAGAAAAAGCACCGGCUAACUACGUGCCAGCCGCCGCAGUAA